rnacentral:rRNA from 1 species
UACAGGGGGGGCAAGCGUUGUUCGGAAUUACUGGGCGUAAAGGGCUCGUAGGCGGCCAACUAAGUCCGACGUGAAAUCCCAAAGCUUAACUUUGGAACUGCGUCGGAUACUGGAUGGCUUGAAUUCGGGAGAGGGAUGCAGAAUUCCAGGUGUAGCGGUGAAAUGCGUAGAUAUCUGGAGGAAUACCGGUGGCGAAGGCGGCAUCCUGGACCGGCAUUGACGCUGAGGAGCGAAAGCUAGGGGAGCAAACGGG